rnacentral:rRNA from 1 species
CAGCACCUCAAGUGGUCAGGAUGAUUAUUGGGCCUAAAGCAUCCGUAGCCGGCUCUGUAAGUUUUCGGUUAAAUCUGUAUUCUCAACAUACAGGCUGCCGGGAAUACUGCAGAGCUAGGGAGUGGGAGAGGUAGACGGUACUCGGUAGGAAGGGGUAAAAUCCUUUGAUCUAUUGAUGACCACCUGUGGCGAAGGCGGUCUACCAGAACACGUCCGACGGUGAGGGAUGAAAGCUGGGGGAGCAAACCGGAUUAGAUACCCGAGUAGUCC